UACGUAGGGCGCAAGCGUUGUCCGGAAUUAUUGGGCGUAAAGAGCUCGUAGGCGGCUUGUCACGUCGGGUGUGAAAGCCCGGGGCUUAACCCCGGGUCUGCAUUCGAUACGGGCUAGCUAGAGUGUGGUAGGGGAGAUCGGAAUUCCUGGUGUAGCGGUGAAAUGCGCAGAUAUCAGGAGGAACACCAAUAGCGAAGGCAGCUCGCUGGGACGUUACUGACGCUGAGGAGCGAAAGCGUGGGUAGCAAACAGG
rnacentral:rRNA from 1 species